rnacentral:rRNA from 1 species
GUAGGAUAGAGGCCUACCAUGGUGGUAACGGGUAACGGGGUGUUAGGGCACGACACCGGAGAGGGAGCCUGAGAAACGGCUACCACAUCCAAGGAUGGCAGCAGGCGCGCAAAUUACCCAAUCCCGACACGGGGAGGUAGUGACAAUAAAUAACAAUACGGGGUCCUUUCGGGUUUCGUAAUUGGAAUGAGUACAAUUUAAAUCUCUUAACGAGGAACAAUUGGAGGGCAAGCCUGGUGCCAGCAGCCGCGGUAAUUCCAGCUCCAAUAGCGUAUAUUAAAGUUGUUGCAGUUAAAAAGCUCGUAGUUGAAUUUCGGGAUCAGUACGCUGGUCGUGCCUUCGGUAUGCACUGGUGUCACUGGUUCCUCCCUUCUGAAGAACUGUCAUGCCAUUCAGUUGGUGUGGCGGGGAAUCAGGACUGUUACUUUGAAAAAAUUAGAGUGUUUAAAGCAGGCUCGCGCUUGAAUACAUUAGCAUGGAAUAAUGAAAUAGGACGUUUGACCCUAUUUUGUUGGUUUCUAGGAUCGACGUAAUGAUUAAUAGGGAUAGUUGGGGGCAUUAGUAUUCAAUUGUCAGAGGUGAAAUUCUUGGAUUUAUUGAAGACUAACUACUGCGAAAGCAUUUGCCAAGGAUGUUUUCAUUAAUCAAGAACGAAAGUUAGGGGAUCGAAGACGAUCAGAUACCGUCGUAGUCUUAACCAUAAACUAUGCCGACUAGGGAUCGGAUGAUGUUAAUUUUUUAAUGACUCAUUCGGCGCCUUACNGGAAACCAAAGUGUUUGGGUUC